rnacentral:lncRNA from 1 species
CUAAUUUACAUGUACAUCUACAUGUAUCUAAUUUCACAUUUUAUCAAGCAUGAGUAGAUUUUUAACAAAACAUGACAGGAAUUGGCCCCUACGUUCUUAUGGAGGUUCAGUGACAUCAUCUUUUCUAAUUGCCCAAUAGUAUGAAUCAAUAGCACUCAUUUCUUUAAUGCAAUCAAAGUAUCGUUAAUAUUUUUUUUAGAGUUUGCAAAAGCUAUUCAAAAUCAGAUUGUCUACAAUACAAAGAAUGCAAAACAUGUAAUAUCAUAGGAUUUAUUUGAUAAACAAUGAAUGAUAUUUUUUCAUUUCAUGUUCUAAUUUUAAUUCACUUUUUUCUAUUUUGUUGUGACAGAGACAGCAUGGCUGAAUAUAUUCACCAUCUCCGCCAGCUUGAUCGGAACAGAGAGUUGAUAGGCAGACCUCAGAGAGGCCUUCGUGACCCAUGAACCCUUUUGAAGUGUAUGGUGAUGAGUCAUUUCGGACCAGGUACUGGUUUUCCAAAGAGACAGCGCUCUACCUCAUCAACUUGGUGGAUGAAGAGCUGAGGAGGACGACAGACAGAAACGACCCAAUACCUAUACAGGUAGUGACAGCACUUCGAUUCUAUGCUUUUGGGUCAUUCCAAAAGAUGCAUGGUGAUGAGGCACAACUUUCACAGUCUUCUGUAUGCAGAGUCAUCAAAGACGUGUCAGAAGCGUUUGCAAGAAGAAGGAAACAAUUCAUGAAGUUCCCAACAUCAAGAGAAGAAGUAGAAGCAACACAGCAGCAGUUCUACCAAUACUGCAGGUUGCCAGGUUUUCUAGGUGCAAUUGAUAGGACUCGUGUCUACAUCAGGAGUCCUGGUGGAGAUCAAGCCCUGUAUUUUAUUAAUAGGAAGAACAGAUACUCUAUUAAUGAAAUGAAAAUUUUCCCUUUUUUGGAGAUGCUCCCCAUUUACUUUUAAUGCAAUUAAUUAAAUGACCGAUAUGGAAUUGGUUCACCCUUUAGUUUCUCUAAACGAAACGUACACCCAUGCAGUACUGUGGUCUGAAACAAUUAGACCGUAUGAUUUGAAAUCUAAUGGUUGAUAUAGUUCCUCCCAAAAACAUUUUUGCAAAAGGUACCAACCACUUUGAAAGGGAAAUCGUCAUCAUCUUCAUCAUUAUCAACAUCGUCACUGAAAUCGUUAUUUGACUGCUUCAUCACCAUCGCCACCGACAACAUUGCUGUCAUCAUUAUCAUCACUGACAUCAUUAUCGACUACAACAUUGUCUUCGUCAAUAACCUUGAAUACUUGUUUUGAUUAUCCAUAUUAAAUCGUCAAUAUUUAAAUAUAAA